UGUAAAGGUUUAUGCCUGUAUAUCUUCUUUGUGGAUUAUACCUUUUAUUAUUAUCCAACAUGUCCUUUUCUAUCUAUCCUCCUACUUUUUGCUGAAAUUUUGCCUAGUAUUGUGACUGCCACCUCUGCUUUCUUUUUGUUGUCAUUUGCCUGAAAUAGUUUUGUUCAUCCCUCUAUCUUUGGCUGUCCCAAGUCAGUCCGAUAUCUCCUAUAUCAGAGGGACAGAGUUAGAGGCACUCCCUUCUUCUGAGGAUAGACAGCUCUGAGUAACAUGCGGAGGCCGAAAAAAACACACUUCUGCGCACGUCCUGCAGUUAAACACGGCCACAGUAUCAAGCUGGAGCCAACGAGAGCCUCGAGGAUGGGAUGGCUGAGGCUUCCAGCAGCCAUCUGGGACCAAGAGGUGACCUUGAGGAUAGAAGUCACAUGCCAGGAGAGGGAAGCAGAGCCAGAAGCAGCCUGGGGUCUGCGACCCUCAUGACUGCGAGCUGCCAGUCAGCGGGACCCCUCCUCAGGGAUCACUUUAAGCCGAGAGAGGGAGGGAAAAUGCCACUGUGCUCAAACCAUGGUUUGUUUGGCUUUUCUGUUACAGGCAGACAUAGGGAGUCCUGAAAAAUACAUCAGAUCUUGCCCUUCUUUUUGGUGGGGGACACGAUCUAAGAGUAACGAGAUUCGAUGAUUCGAGUCUUAAUUCCUGUUUCGGGUUAUAUUAGUGGUUAUGUUAAAAUGCUUAACAGACACAUCUGGACGUUUGUUUUUAAGAGCUAUCCCUCGGGUCUUGCAGCUCUAAGUACGGUCUCUUGAGCCGCAUCCACGUCCCCUGGGAAUUGGUGAGAAAUGUGGAAGCUCAUGCCCUCCCUAGACCUACUGAAUCGGAAGCGAAUUUUCACAAGCUCCUCAGGUGAUCUGGGCACACAGUGCAGGGUGAAUGCCACUGACUUAGAGGGCAAAAGGUGCCCCUCUCCUCUUCUGAGUAAUGUUACCGAUGGCCUCAAUUCUCUACUUAGACCCUGGGAAGGCGCCCAUAGAGUCAAGCCAUCAGCGGGCAUCGUCGGCCUUUGAAGGUCUGGCCCUCACCUCUCCGGUUUCAGUUCUUGUUCUUCUCCCAUCGCUGCCAGAGUCUCGUUUCUCACGCUGGGCUAGGGUGUCAGGGUCUUCACCUAGAGCCCACCCAACAGCCAGCCCUUUCCUCCAAUGCUGUUGUGGGAGGCGAGGCAUCCGGCUCCAGGUGACGUGCCCAGCUCAUCUCAUUCUCCUUUGCAUGACUCUUCCUCGCCCAGCCUCCCUUGGUAGCUAAGCUGGCCUGCACCCAGAACUCACCAAGGGGACAAGUGUCUGCUGGGGGUGGGGACAUCUUUUCCUUCCUGGAUUAAAAAGAACCGUGUGAUAAGAACA